UGCGGCCAGUAUGAGACCGGUUGAUCCUGCCGGAGGGAACCCCUAUCGGGUUCAGACUAAGCCAUGCGAGUCGGCUGGGGGCACUUGCCCCUGGCGGCGCACGGCUCAGUAAUACGCGGUCAACCUACCCUGGGGACCGGGAUAACCUCGGGAAACUGAGGCUAAUCCCGGAUAGGUGUGGGGUGCUGAAAUGCCCUCACGCCAAAAGUAGGCGGGAAAUGGACCGCUGAGGCCCCAGGAUGGGACCGCGGCCUAUCAGGUAGUAGGUGGGGUAACGGCCCACCUAGCCUACGACGGGUACGGGCCCUGAGAGGGGGAGCCCGGAGAUGGGCACUGAGACAAGGGUCUAGGCCCUAAGGGGUGCAGCAGGCGCGAAGAUUCCGCAAUGCCCGAAAGGGCGACGGAGUGAACCCGAGUGCCACCCGCUGAGGGUGGCUGUUCCCCUGUGUAAAAAGCAGGGGGUAGAAAGGGGAGGGCAAGGCUGGUGGCAGCCGCCGCGGUAAAACCAGCUCCCCGAGGGGUUCCCACGCAUACUGGGCCUAAAGCGUCCGUAGCCGGCCCUGCAAGUCUGCAGUUAAAUCCGCCUGUAGACAGGCGGGCUGCUGCAGAUACUGCAGGGCUAGGGAGCGGGAGGAGCCGGGGGUAUUCCCGGGGGAGCGGUAAAAUGCGUAGAUCCCGGGAGGACCACCAGUGGCGAAGGCGCCCGGCUUGAACGCGUCCGACGGUGAGGGACGAAAGCUGGGGGAGCAAACCGGAUUAGAUACCCGGGUAGUCCCAGCCGUAAACGAUGCCGGCUAGGUGCUGGCCAAGGUUUCGGCCUUGGCCAGUGUCGAAGCGAAGGCAUUAAGCCGGCCGCCUGAGGAGUACGGCCGCAAGGCUGAAACUUGAAGGAAUUGACGGGGGGGCACCACAAGGGGUGAAUGCCUGCGGCUUAAUUGGACUCAACGCCGGGAAUCUUACCGGGGGCGACAGCAGGAUGAAGGUCAGGCUGAAGACCUUACCAGACGCGCUGAGGGGUGGUGCAUGGCCGUCGCCAGCUCGUGCCGUGAGGUGUCCUGUUAAGUCAGGCAACGAGCGAGACCCCCGCCCCUAGUUGCCAGCGGCCUCCUUCGGGAGGGACCGGGCAAACUAGGGGGACCGCCUCCGAAGAGGAGGAGGAAGGUGGGGGCUACGGCAGGUCAGUAUGCCCCUAAUCCCCCGGGCCGCACGCGGGCUGCAAUGGGCGGGACAGCGGGAUGCGACCCCGAGAGGGGGAGCUAAUCCCUCAAACCCGCUCGUAGUUGGGAUCGAGGGCUGCAACUCGCCCUCGUGAACCCGGAAUCCCUAGUAACCGCGGUUCUCCAUACCGCGGUGAAUACGUCCCUGCCCCUUGUACACACCGCCCGUCAACUCACCCGAGUGGAGCUGGGGCAAGGUCCCAGCUCCAAAAGAGCUGGGAUCGAGCCUUGGCUCCGCGAGGGGGGGUAAGUCGUAACAAGGUAGCCGUAGGGGAACCUGCGGCUGGAUCACCUCCCA
rnacentral:rRNA from 3 species